AUGGAGAGUUUGAUCCUGGCUCAGGAUGAACGCUAGCGGGAGGCCUAACACAUGCAAGCCGAGCGGUAGAGUUUCUUCGGAAACUUGAGAGCGGCGCACGGGUGCGUAACACGUGUGCAACCUACCUUUAUCUGGGGGAUAGCCUUUCGAAAGGAAGAUUAAUACCCCAUAAUAUAAUGAUUGGCAUCAAUUAUUAUUGAAAACUCCGGUGGAUAGAGAUGGGCACGCGCAAGAUUAGAUAGUUGGUGAGGUAACGGCUCACCAAGUCAAUGAUCUUUAGGGGUCCUGA
rnacentral:rRNA from 1 species